rnacentral:rRNA from 1 species
GCAUAUCAAUAAGCGGAGGAAAAGAAACCAACAGGGAUUGCCUCAGUAACGGCGAGUGAAGCGGCAAGAGCUCAAAUUUGAAAUCCGGCCCCCCUGGGGGCCUGAGUUGUAAUUUGCAGAGGAUGCUUCGGGCGCGACCGCGGUCCAAGUCCCCUGGAACGGGGCGUCGUAGAGGGUGAGAAUCCCGUCUCCGGCCGGCCGGUCUCGCCCGUGUGAAGCUCCUUCGACGAGUCGAGUUGUUUGGGAAUGCAGCUCCAAAUGGGUGGUAAAUUUCAUCUAAAGCUAAAUACUGGUCGGAGACCGAUAGCGCACAAGUAGAGUGAUCGAAAGAUGAAAAGCACUUUGAAAAGAGAGUUAAACAGCAUGUGAAAUUGUUGAAAGGGAAGCGCUUGCGACCAGAGUCGGCCGUGGGGGUUCAGCGGGCAUUCGUUGCCCGUGCAAUCCCCCGCGGCCGGGCCAGCGUCGGUUUCGACGGCCGGUCAAAGGCCCCCGGAAUGUGUCGCCUCUCGGGGCGUCUUAUAGCCGGGGGUGCAAUGCGGCCAGUCGGGACCGAGGAACGCGCUCCGGCACGGACGCUGGCUUAAUGGUCGUCAGCGACCCGUCUUGAAACACGGACCAAGGAGUCUAACAUCCACGCGAGUGUUCGGGUGUCAAACCCGUCCGCGCAGUGAAAGCGAACGGAGGUGGGAACCCCUGAGGGUGCACCAUCGACCGAUCCUGAAGUCUUCGGAUGGAUUUGAGUAGGAGCGUGGCUGUUGGGACCCGAAAGAUGGUGAACUAUGCCUGAAUAGGGUGAAGCCAGAGGAAACUCUGGUGGAGGCUCGCAGCGGUUCUGACGUGCAAAUCGAUCGUCAAAUUUGGGUAUAGGGGCGAAAGACUAAUCGAACCAUCUGGUAGCUGGUUCCUGCCGAAGUUU